UACGUAGGUCCCGAGCGUUGUCCAGAUUUAUUGGGCGUAAAGCGAGCGCAGGUGGUUUAUUAAGUCUGGUGUAAAAGGCAGUGGCUCAACCAUUGUAUGCAUUGGAAACUGGUAGACUUGAGUGCAGGAGAGGAGAGUGGAAUUCCAUGUGUAGCGGUGAAAUGCGUAGAUAUAUUGAGGAACACCGGUGGCGAAAGCGGCUCUCUGGCCUGUAACUGACACUGAGGCUCGAAAGCGUGGGGAGCAAACAGG
rnacentral:rRNA from 1 species